AACGAACGCUGGCGGCAUGCCUAACACAUGCAAGUCGAACGAGACCUUCGGGUCUAGUGGCGCACGGGGGCGUAACGCGUGGGAACCUGCCCUUAGGUUCGGAAUAACUCCCCGAAAGGGGUGCUAAUACCGGAUAAUGUCUUCGGACCAAAGAUUUAUCGCCUUUGGAUGGGCGCGCGUUGGAUUAGCUAGUUGGUAGGGUAAAAGCCUACCAAGGCGACGAUCCAUAGCUGGUCUGAGAGGAUGAUCAGCCACACUGGGAAUGAGACACGGCCCAGAAUCCUACGCGAGGCAGCAGUGGGGAAUAUUGGACACGGAGCGCAAGCCUGAUAAAGCAAUGCCGCGUAAGUGAUGAAGGCCUUAGGGUUGUACAGCUCUUUUACCCGAGAUGAUAAUGACAGUACCGGGAGAAUAAGCACCGGCUAACUACGUG
rnacentral:rRNA from 1 species